UACCGUGAAACUGCGAAUGGCUCAUUAAAUCAGUUAUCGUUUAUUUGAUAGUACCUUACUACUUGGAUAACCGUGGUAAUUCUAGAGCUAAUACAUGCUAAAAACCGCAACUUCGGAAGCGGUGUAUUUAUUAGAUAAAAAACCAAUGCCCUUCGGGGCUCUUUGGUGAUUCAUAGUAACUUAACGGAUCGCAUGGCCUUGCGCCGGCGACGGUUCAUUCAAAUUUCUGCCCUAUCAACUUUCGAUGGUAAGGUAUUGGCUUACCAUGGUUUCAACGGGUAACGGGGAAUUAGGGUUCGAUUCCGGAGAGGGAGCCUGAGAAACGGCUACCACAUCCAAGGAAGGCAGCAGGCGCGCAAAUUACCCAAUCCCGACACGGGGAGGUAGUGACAAUAAAUACUGAUACAGGGCUCUUUUGGGUCUUGUAAUCGGAAUGAGUACAAUUUAAACCCCUUAACGAGGAACAAUUGGAGGGCAAGUCUGGUGCCAGCAGCCGCGGUAAUUCCAGCUCCAAUAGCGUAUAUUAAAGUUGUUGCAGUUAAAAAGCUCGUAGUUGAACCUUGGGCCUGGCUGGCCGGUCCGCCUCACCGCGUGUACUGGUCCGGCCGGGCCUUUCCUUCUGGAGAACCCCAUGCCCUUCACUGGGUGUGCGGGGGAACCAGGACUUUUACUGUGAAAAAAUUAGAGUGUUCAAAGCAGGCCUUUGCUCGAAUACGUUAGCAUGGAAUAAUAGAAUAGGACGUGCGGUUCUAUUUUGUUGGUUUCUAGGACCGCCGUAAUGAUUAAUAGGGAUAGUCGGGGGCAUCAGUAUUCAAUUGUCAGAGGUGAAAUUCUUGGAUUUAUUGAAGACUAACUACUGCGAAAGCAUUUGCCAAGGAUGUUUUCAUUAAUCAGUGAACGAAAGUUAGGGGAUCGAAGACGAUCAGAUACCGUCGUAGUCUUAACCGUAAACUAUGCCGACUAGGGAUCGGGCGAUGUUUCUAUCUUGACUCGCUCGGCACCUUACGAGAAAUCAA
rnacentral:rRNA from 1 species